rnacentral:rRNA from 1 species
UGAACGCUAGCGGGAGGCUUAAUACAUGCAAGUCGAACGGUAACAGGUCUUCGGAUGCUGACGAGUGGCGCACGGGUGAGUAACGCGUACAUAACCUACCUUUUACUGGGGAAUAGCCUUGGGAAACUGAGAAUAAUACCCCAUAGUAUUACUGAAUCGCAUGGUUUAGUAAUUAAAGUGUUAGCGGUAGAAGAUGGAUGUGCGUACCAUUAGAUAGUUGGUGAGGUAACGGCUCACCAAGUCAGCGAUGGUUAGGGGGCGUGAGAGCGUGAUCCCCCACACGGGUACUGAGACACGGACCCGACUCCUACGGGAGGCAGCAGUAAGGAAUAUUGGACAAUGGACGAAAGUCUGAUCCAGCCAUCCCGCGUGCAGGAUGACGGCCCUAUGGGUUGUAAACUGCUUUUAUGAGAGAAGAAACGCCUUGUUUUAUAUAGGGUCUGACGGUAUCUCAUGAAUAAGCACCGGCUAACUCC